UAGGGAAUCUUCCACAAUGGGCGAAAGCCUGAUGGAGCAAUGCCGCGUGUGUGAUGAAGGGUUUCGGCUCGUAAAACACUGUUGUAAGAGAAGAAUGACAUUGAGAGUAACUGUUCAAUGUGUGACGGUAUCUUACCAGAAAGGAACGGCUAAAUACGUGCCAC
rnacentral:rRNA from 1 species